AACGAACGCUGGCGGCAUGCCUAACACAUGCAAGUCGAACGAAGGCUUCGGCCUUAGUGGCGCACGGGUGCGUAACGCGUGGGGAUCUGCCCUUAGGUUCGGAAUAACAGUUAGAAAUGACUGCUAAUACCGGAUGAUGACGUAAGUCCAAAGAUUUAUCGCCUGAGGAUGAGCCCGCGUAGGAUUAGCUAGUUGGUGUGGUAAAGGCGCACCAAGGCGACGAUCCUUAGCUGGUCUGAGAGGAUGAUCAGCCACACUGGGACUGAGACACGGCCCAGACUCCUACGGGAGGCAGCAGUGGGGAAUAUUGGACAAUGGGCGCAAGCCUGAUCCAGCAAUGCCGCGUGAGUGAUGAAGGCCUUAGGGUUGUAAAGCUCUUUUACCCGUGAUGAUAAUGACAGUAGCGGGAGAAUAAGCCCCGGCUAACUCCGUG
rnacentral:rRNA from 1 species